AUUGAACGCUGGCGGCAGGCUUAACACAUGCAAGUCGAGCGAGCGGCGGACGGGUGAGUAAUGUCUGGGAAACUGCCUGAUGGAGGGGGAUAACUACUGGAAACGGUAGCUAAUACCGCAUACCAUCAGAUGUGCCCAGAUGGGAUUAGCUAGUAGGUGGGGUAAUGGCUCACCUAGGCGGAGAUCCCUAGCUGGCCUGAGAGGAUGACCACCAAUGCUGGAACUAAGAAACGGUCCAGACUCCUACGGGAGUCAGCGGUGGGGAAUAUUGCACAAGGAGCGCAAGCCUGAUGCAGACAUGCCGCGGGGGUGAAGAAGGCCUUCGGGUUGUAAAGCACGUUCAGCGAGGAGGCGUUACUCGCAGAAGAAGCACCGGCUAACUCCGUGCCAGCAGCCGCGGUAAUUC
rnacentral:rRNA from 1 species